GAUGAACGCUGACAGAAUGCUUAACACAUGCAAGUCGAUGGGGAAGUGGUGCUUGCAUCAUGGUAACCAUGGCGGACGGGUGAGUAACGCGUAAGGAACUUGCCUGCGGGACUGGGAUAACAGCAGGAAACUGCUGAUAAUACCGGAUAAGGUCAUUAAGCUGCAUAGCUUAGUGAUGAAAGGAGACGCCUGCGGAGAGCCUUGCGUCCUAUUAGCUAGUUGGAGGGGUAACGGCCCACCAAGGCGAAGAUAGGUAGCCGGCCUGAGAGGGUGGACGGCCACAAGGGGACUGAGAUACGGCCCUUACUCCUACGGGAGGCAGCAGUGGGGAAUAUUGGACAAUGGGGGCAACCCUGAUCCAGCAAUUCUGUGUGCACGAAGACGGUUUUCGGAUUGUAAAGUGCUUUCAGCAGGGAAGAAGGAAGUGACGGUACCUGCAGAAGAAGCGACGGCUAAAUACGUG
rnacentral:rRNA from 1 species